GUAUUUAUUUUUGUCGAUACUUUCAAAGGUAUCGGGAAGAGAUAUGGGGUUUCCCUCGCAAGGGGGUACUCUGAAAUAGAUUGCCUCUGUUUUGAUAGACUCGACGAAGUUUUUCAAUCCUGCAGAAAAGUAUUUGAAUGGAACUGUGGUUUCUCAAUAUGCUGAAUAUGUGGGGGAAAGAUGGAGAAUCUAUUUGGCAGAUGUCCAUACCCUAUAAGGCGGUCUUAGGAUCGGCUUGAA
rnacentral:misc_RNA from 1 species